GUUUGACACCUCGAUGUCGACUCUUCUCAUCCUCCAGGUGUAGUCGCUUGGAAGGGUUCAGCUGUUCGCUGAGUAAAGAGGAACGUGAGUUGGGUUUAAUACGACGUGAGUCAGUAUAGAUUCUAUCCUCGGAAGGAAACAAGAAUAGAAGAAGAACCUCUAAUUUGUACGAAAGGACCGUUAGAGAGAAUUCCAUGGUGUAUCUAUUGUUGUAGUUUUACUAUGGCACAGUAGAGUAGCCACAAUUCUGAAAGAUAAGUACUGAAAGCAUAUCAAGUUCGAAACAGAUCUUCUGAUAUUCUUUGAAAUAAGAAAAAGACUACUUCUUAUUUGUAGGGUGUAAAUGUAUGUUUAACACUAC
rnacentral:rRNA from 14 species